AAGACGAACGCUGGCGGCGUGCUUAACACAUGCAAGUCGAGCGGAAAGGCCCUUCGGGGUACUCGAGCGGCGAACGGGUGAGUAACACGUGAGCAACCUGCCCUUAGCUCCGGGAUAGCUCCGGGAAACCGGAAUUAAUACCGGAUACGACCACAGCCGACAUCUGCUGUGGUGGAAAGGAUUCCGGCUAAGGAUGGGCUCGCGGCCUAUCAGCUAGUUGGUGGAGUAACGGCCCACCAAGGCGACGACGGGUA
rnacentral:rRNA from 1 species